rnacentral:rRNA from 1 species
UACGUAGGUGGCAAGCGUUGUCCGGAUUUACUGGGCGUAAAGAGCGUGUAGGCGGUCCGGUAAGUCCGCUGUGAAAGUCGGGGGCUCAACCCUCGAAUGCCGGUGGAUACUGUCGGGCUAGAGUGCGGAAGAGGCGAGUGGAAUUCCUGGUGUAGCGGUGAAAUGCGCAGAUAUCAGGAGGAACACCAAUUGCGAAGGCAGCUCGCUGGGACGUUACUGACGCUGAGACGCGAAAGCGUGGGGAGCAAACAGG